rnacentral:rRNA from 1 species
CAGCCGCCGCGGUAAUACAGAGGGUGCGAGCGUUAAUCGGAUUUACUGGGCGUAAAGCGUGCGUAGGCGGCUUCUUAAGUCGGAUGUGAAAUCCCUGAGCUUAACUUAGGAAUUGCAUUCUAUACUGGGAAGCUAGAGUAUGGGAGAGGAUGGUAGAAUUCCAGGUGUAGCGGUGAAAUGCGUAGAGAUCUGGAGGAAUACCGAUGGCGAAGGCAGCCAUCUGGCCUAAUACUGACGCUGAGGUACGAAAGCAUGGGGAGCAAACAGGAUUAGAUACCCCCGUAGUCCCUGUCUCUUAUAC